AUGUCUAAGCACAAGCCGAAAUACGGUGAAGCCGCGAAUAGCUCAUUACAACAGCCAUAGUCUACUUGAUCUUGACAUCCUACUUGGAUAACUGUGGUCAUUCCAGAGCUAAGACAUGCGAAAAGCUCUGAACCUUCGGGGGACGAGCGCGUUUAUUAGACCAAAACCAAUCGGUCCUCGGACCGCUUUUGGUGAAUCUGAAUAACUCAGCCGAUCGUACAGUCUUGUACUGACGACGGAUCAUUCGAGUGUCUGCCUUAUCAACUGUUGAUUGUAGUUUAUGUGACUACAAUGGUUGCAACGGGUAACGGAGAAUCAGGGUUCGACUCCGGAGAGGCAGCCUGAGAAACGGCUACCACAUCCAAGGAAGGCAGCAGGCGCGCAAAUUACCCACUUUCGGCACGAAGAGGUAGUGACGAGAAAUAACGAGGCGUCUCUCUUUGAGGGUCGCCAUCGGAAUGAGGACAAUGUAAACGACUUACCGAAUUCAAUCAGAGGGCAAGUCUGGUGCCAGCAGCCGCGGUAAUUCCAGCUCUGAAGGUGUAUACCACCGUUGUUGAGGUUAAAAAGCUCGUAGUUGGAUCUAAGCCCGUGAUGCCGGUUAGCACUUGCGUGUUACACUGGUGUCUGGGUCGAACAGUCGGUCGUCCCUUGGUGCCCUUCACCGGGUGCCCUGGGUGGCUGGCGAUUUUACUUUGAAAAAAAUUAGAGUGCUCAAAACAGGCGAUUGCCUGAAUAAUGGUGCAUGGAAUAAUGGAAUAGGAUCUUAGUCCUAUUUUGUUGGUUUUCGGGAGCCAAGAUAAUGAUUGAGAGGGACAGACGGAGGCAUUCGUAUUGCGUCGUUAGAGGUAAAAUUCUAGGAUCGAUGCAAGACGAACAAACUGCGAAGGCAUUUGCCGAGAAUGUUUUCAUUAAUCAAGGAACGGAAAGUUAGAGGUUCGAAGGCGAUUAGAUACCGCCCUAGUUCUAACCGUAAACGAUGCCAACUCGCGAUCCUGAGAUGUCAUUGCUGACGUUCGGGGGAGCGGCCCGGAAACGAAAGUUUUUCGGUUCCUGGGGAAGUAUGGUUGCAAAUCUGAAACUUAAAGGAAUUGACGGAAGGGCACCACCAGGAGUGGAGCCUGCGGCUUAAUUUGACUCAACACGGGAAAACUCACCAGGCCAAGACAGCGUCAUGAUUGACAGAUUGAGAGCUCUUUCUUGAUUCGUUGGGUGGUGGUGCAUGGCCGUUCUUAGUUGGUGGAUUGUUUUGUCUGGUUAAUUCCGAUAACGAACGAGACUCUGCCCUACUAAAUAGCAAGUGGAUCCUCUCUGUCCACAGUGCUUCUUAGAGGAACUGACAGCGUUCAGCUGUACGAAAUUGAGCAAUAACAGGUCUGUGAUGCCCUUAGAUGUCCUGGGCUGCACGCGCGCUACACUGAGCAGAUCAGCGUGCCCUACUCCUUGACCGAGAGGUCUAGGUAACCCAAUUCAUACUGCUCGUGAUUGGGACAGGAGAUUGCAAUUAUUCUCCUUGAACGAGGAAUUCCUAGUAUGUCCGAGUCAUCAGCUCGGGCAGAAUAUUGUCCCUGCCCUUUGUACACACCGCCCGUCGCUACCUGGAACUGAGCUGUUUCGAGAAAACUGGAGACUGAAGUUUGAUGGUUUCCGCUCUCUUUCAUUGGAAACCAGUUUAAUCGGUGUGGCUUGAACCGGGU
rnacentral:rRNA from 1 species